rnacentral:rRNA from 1 species
UGGGGAAUAUUGCACAAUGGGCGCAAGCCUGAUGCAGCAACGCCGCGUGAACGAUGAAGGUCUUCGGAUCGUAAAGUUCUGUUGCAGGGGAAGAUAAUGACGGUAUCAUAGGAGGAAGCCCCGGCUAAAUACGUGCCAGCAGCCGCGGUAAUACGUAUGUGGCGAGCGUUGUCCGGAAUUAUUGGGCGUAAAGGGUACGUAGGCGGUCUAUUAAGUCAGGUGUGAAAGCGUGAGGCUUAACCUCAUUAAGCACUUGAAACUGAUAGACUUGAGUGAAGGAGAGGAAAGUGGAAUUCCUAGUGUAGCGGUGAAAUGCGUAGAUAUUAGGAGGAAUACCGGUGGCGAAGGCGACUUUCUGGACUUUUACUGACGCUCAGGUACGAAAGCGUGGGGAGCAAACAGG